GCCCGCCUAGCUCAAUCGGAUAGAGCGUCAGACUCUUAAUCACUAGGCGGUUAGCUGAUCUGAAGGCUGCGAGUUCGACCCUCGCGGUGGGCU